rnacentral:rRNA from 1 species
UACGUAUGGGGCAAGCGUUAUCCGGAUUUACUGGGUGUAAAGGGAGCGUAGGCGGCCUGGCAAGCCUGAUGUGAAAUACCGGGGCCCAACCCCGGGGCUGCAUUGGGAACUGCCAGGCUGGAGUGCCGGAGAGGCAGGCGGAAUUCCUAGUGUAGCGGUGAAAUGCGUAGAUAUUAGGAGGAACACCAGUGGCGAAGGCAGCCUGCUGGACGGUGACUGACGCUGAGGCUCGAAAGCGUGGGGAGCAAACAGG